GGUGUAAAAUUUACUAUGCAUCAUUAAGAUAUUAUUUUUCGUUUGAAAUACAUUAAGUGGUAGCUAAGUGAAAUAACAAUUAAACUUUCGUAAUUUUUCUGAUAACCGAUGAACACAGCCACAAAUUUUUUUUAGAGAAAGUAAAUUAUUUUGUACAAGAAACAUAGAAAAGGGAUGUAAUUAACAAUAGCUCGAGAAAUAGUAAUUCUUUAUUAUUACGAGUUUUCAAAGCAUAUUAUCAAGAAUUGCAUCCAUACACCACAACUGAAAUACGAAAUCAUCUGCAACAUAUAUGAUCUUUUGAAUCAGGAAAGAACUGUAAUACAUGCAGCAUACCAAUUUGUAGCCAUUCAAACAUGCCGAUAAAGAUAAUAUACCAAAGUACCAAAGAAUCCUGUAAAAACGAUAAAUAAAAACUGAAAGGAAGAUAAAAAUUUACAACUCGCCUGAGAUGGAUGGAUUGGAAAAUCGAGCAAUAUUCAAUCCAGCUGAUGAACAGAAAUUUCACACUAUUCUCAGACUCUCAAAAACCUGACAGAUCAAUUUUGCGUACCCUUUAAUCGAUGAUAACUUCUUUG
rnacentral:misc_RNA from 1 species